AUCAAUGAAUCCCAUAUUAAAAAAACAAACAAUAUAAAAAAAAAAAGUGCAGACUUUGUAUUCGUAGCAAACACUAAUAUAAUAAAGUUUUAGAUACGGAGCACAAACUACAAUGUUAUAUUAAUCGUGUUUUGAACAUAGUAUCCCAUAUUGACAAAAUCAAGCAAUAUAAAAAAAAGAAUAAAUCCCAUAUUAAAAAAACAAACAAUGUCAAAAAAAAAGUGUAGACUUUGUAUUCUUAGCAAACACUAAUAUAAUAAAGUUUUAGAUACGGAGCACAAACUACAAUGUUAUAUUAAUCGUGUUUUGAAUAUAUAUAUAUAUAUAUAUAUAUAUAUAUGAUAUGCAUAAAAAUAGUGCAAACUAAUAAUGUCCAAAAGGGUGGGCAUACUAAACAACACCAAGCAAUAUAAAAAAAAAAAAAAACUAUAUAAAGCAUGGUUUAGACCUUUCAUUCGUCAUCCGUUGUCCCUAAAAAAAAAAAAGGGUGGGCCCCAUACUAAAUAACACCGAAGAAUAAAAAAAAGGAAGAAAAAAAAGUGGAACUCACCAUCUCCAAACUCAUGGGAAAAAAUAAAGUGGACCCCGUAUUAACAAAAUCAAGCAAUAUCAAAAAAAAAAAAAAAGAACCCCAUAUUAAAAAAAAUAUAAUGUUAAAAAAAAAAAGUGCAAACUUUGUAUUCGUAGCAAACACUAAUAUAAUAAAGUUUUAGAUACGGAGCACAAACUACAAUGUUAUAUUAAUCGUGUUUUGAACAU